rnacentral:pre_miRNA from 1 species
ACUGUGGGGGUGGGUGUCCCUCAGCCCGGAUUGUGAGAGGGCACAGGCCAGGCCGAGGGACCCCACCGGUGCACG